rnacentral:tRNA from 1 species
GGGGCGGUAGCUCAGCAGGAAGAGCGCUGAUCUGGCAGGUCUGAGGUGAGGGGUUCGAGUCCCCUCCGCUCCACCA